ensembl:lncRNA NUTM2A-AS1 NUTM2A antisense RNA 1
CUUUUUCCAGAGAAGAGAAGCUUUACUGGUGUUCCAGCCCUAAGUCUCGCUCUGUCGCUCAGGCUGGAGUGCAAUGGCGCGAUCUCGGCUCACUGCAAGCUCCGCCUCCUGGGUUCACUCCAUUCUCCUGCCUCAGCCUCCGGAGUAGCUGGGACUACAGGCACCCGCCACCGCGCCCAGCUAAUUUUUUUUUUUUUUAGUAGAGACGCGGUUUCACCGUGUUAGCCAGGAUGGUCUCGAUCUCCUGACCUCGUGAUCCGCUCGUCUCGGCUUCCCAAAGUGCUGAGAUUACAGGCUUGCAGGCGUGAGCCACCGCGCCCGGCCGAGUUAAAGUACUUUUUCUGGAACAAAGAAACUUAGCAUAAAUAGUUAAAAUAUUAAGAGUUGUAAUUAAGGGAAAUUUCAGCUCAAUAUGACUUCAACAGUUUAAAAAAUGUAUUAUUUCACAUAAGACCAUGGAGAGAGGAAUUGGAAGCCCCAGAAUUGAUUGGGUCAGAAAUUGAAAAUGAUACUAUCAGUGACCCAGGUUUGAAUGUCUCUCUCCACAGCAUUGACUUCACUAAUGGAUGUGACCUGGUUGGCAGCAGUAGCUUGCACAACAUGCUUGUUUGCAGUGAGUAGUAGAGAGAAGGUUUUGCUUUCCCAGAAACUCUGAAAAAGGUCAUCAAACCUAAAUUUCCUUAGCCUUCUUCUUCCAUGAGCAAAUCACUAGCAGAUGAUUGCUAGCAAGGUGUUACUAUUACAAUGAACCCCUAAGUGUCAGAGAAAGAGUUAGUUUGGGGAAAUAUCCUCUCCACCACAAUCUUAGUCAUUGAAGUCAAUUUAACAAUAUAUUGAAAUAUUUUUCUUAGAAGUUUAAAGUUCCAUUAAAGAGUAACAAUUACAGAAAUUAUAGGUAGCCUUUAGUUCUACAAGUGACAUCUCAAAAGGGAGAUGAUUCAUCAAUUUCAAACUUUCCCUGCAAGUAAUACUGGAUGAAAAUUAACUUGGCCAACAUAAUUAAUAAUCAUGGGUUAUUAAUUACUUCUGCAAGAAACUUAAAUCCUCAGUGUGACACAACUCAGUCCUUCUACUGCAGCAGCUCUUUUAUAAAAGCCUCCCAAAGCUCCAAGAAGGAACAAAGAAUGUGACCCAGUAAGCUCACACCAUAAGUCUAUAUUGCAGAAACCUUUGUUCAACAAAACUGCAGAUGCUCUGUUGAAUCCACUGGAGAUUGUCCUGAUACUAAGGACAAGCUCAUAUGACAUUAACAGACAAGACACUUUUCAGAAAGACAGGCAACGUGUUGGACCUUCCGGAGCUUCUCAGAAGACAGAGGGUUUUCUUUUGAGGUAAAUUUGAUAGUACAUUUUGAUAGUACAGGAGGCGAUACGGCAUGGUGACAGAAAAGCGCCGGCUUGGUUAGCGGGACCACCUGGCAGGGCUGCAGGCUGUGCCACUUACCAGGCAGGGGACCUUGGGCCAGCUGCUUGGCCUCACUCACCCUGUUUCCUCAGCUGCAAUUGGGAUGAACAGACUGCCUGCUUCGGGGUUGCCUAAAACUCACAUUGCUUAAUGAUGUGAAAUGCUUAGCGCAGUGCCUGGCAUAGAGAGAAUUCUCAUUAGAUGAUACCUCAGCUGGGCUUUAGGAGCUACAGAAGAAGCUGCAUCUCCAUGAGCUCAGCGUGUUUCUAGCUUUCCUUUUUGUUUUCUAUUCAACCUUUCACCCAACUCAGCUUCUCAAUCCCUAAAUGACAAAGGUUUGGGAAGGAAGACUUGGACCGAUGCUUGCAUUUGUUUCUGAGAAUUAAACGUUAUGUUUUCUUCAAUCCAAA